rnacentral:rRNA from 1 species
AAGUCGUAACAAGGUUUCCGUAGGUGAACCUGCGGAAGGAUCAUUAUCAUACAAUGCAGGUGCUGGGGUUGUCGCUGACUUUUGAAAGGGUCGUGCACACCUCGGUGCUCUCGCACAUAAUCCAUCUCACCCUUUGUGCAUUACCGCGUGGGGGCCCCUUUUGGCUAUUUCUGAGGGGGGUCUUCAUGUUUUUACAUUAACGCAUGUGUAGAAUGUCUUACUUUUUGUGAUCACACACAAUCAAUACAACUUUCAACAACGGAUCUCUUGGCUCUCGCAUCGAUGAAGAACGCAGCGAAAUGCGAUACGUAAUGUGAAUUGCAGAAUUCAGUGAAUCAUCGAAUCUUUGAACGCACCUUGCGCCCUUUGGUAUUCCGAGGGGCACACCCGUUUGAGUGUCGUGACAUUCUCAAAACCUUUUUGGUUUCUUAACCAGGAAGGCUUUGGACUUUGGGGGCUUUGCUGGUCUUCCCUUGUUGAAGCCCAGCUCCUCUGAAAUGAAUUAGUGGGGUCCCCUUUGCUGACCCUUGACGUGAUAAGAUGUUUCUACGUCCGGGGUUUCGCACUGUUUGCUCUGGAUCCUGCUUCUAAUCGUCUCAUAGAAGACAAAUGGUCGAGUGGAUUGCCACUUGACCCACAAACCUGACCUCAAUUCG